UCGACGGACUCAUAUUGAAACCUAGUGAUGUAUGAGUUAGUGGCGGACGGGUGAGUAACGCGUGGAGAACCUGCCGUAUACUGGGGGAUAACACUUAGAAAUAGGUGCUAAUACCGCAUAAGCGCACAGCUUCGCAUGAAGCAGUGUGAAAAACUCCAGUGGUAUACGAUGGAUCCGCGUCUGAUUAGCUUGUUGGCGGGGUAAAGGCCCACCAAGGCGACGAUCAGUAGCCGGCCUGAGAGGGUGAACGGCCACAUUGGGACUGAGACACGGCCCAAACUCCUACGGGAGGCAGCAGUGGGGAAUAUUGCACAAUGGGGGAAACCCUGAUGCAGCGACGCCGCGUGAGUGAAGAAGUAUUUCGGUACGUAAAGCUCUAUCAGCAGGGAAGAAAUAAAGUCCUUCGGACUUUGGACGGUACCUGACUAAGAAGCCCCGGCUAACUACGUGCCAGCAGCCGCGGUAAUACGUAGGGGGCAAGCGUUAUCCGGAUUUACUGGGUGUAAAGGGAGCGUAGACGGCAGCGCAAGUCUGGAGUGAAAUCCCAUGGCUUAACCAUGGAACUGCUUUGGAAACUGUGCAGCUGGAGUGCAGGAGAGGUAAGCGGAAUUCCUAGUGUAGCGGUGAAAUGCGUAGAUAUUAGGAGGAACACCAGUGGCGAAGGCGGCUUACUGGACUGUAACUGUCGUUGAGGCUCGAAAGCGUGGGGAGCAAACAGGAUUAGAUACCCUGGUAGUCCACGCUGUAAACGAUGAUUACUAGGUGUUGGGGGACCAAGGUCCUUCGGUGCCGUCGCAAACGCAUUAAGUAAUC
rnacentral:rRNA from 1 species